rnacentral:rRNA from 1 species
AUUGAACGCUGGCGGCAUGCUUUACACAUGCAAGUCGAACGGUAACAGGGAGCUUGCUCCGCUGACGAGUGGCGAACGGGUGAGUAAUGCGUCGGAACGUGCCGAGUAGUGGGGGAUAACGCAGCGAAAGUUGUGCUAAUACCGCAUACGUACUGAGGUAGAAAGUGGGGGACGUUCGGGCCUCACGCUAUUCGAGCGGCCGACGUCUGAUUAGCUAGUAGGUGGGGUAAAGGCUCACCUAGGCGACGAUCAGUAGCGGGUCUGAGAGGAUGAGCCGCCACACUGGGACUGAGACACGGCCCAGACUCCUACGGGAGGCAGCAGUGGGGAAUUUUGGACAAUGGGAGAAAGCCUGAUCCAGCCAUGCCGCGUGUCUGAAGAAGGCCUUCGGGUUGUAAAGGACUUUUGUCGGGGAGGAAAUCCCCAGCGCUAAUACCGCUGGGGGAUGACAGUACCUGAAGAAUAAGCACCGGCUAACUACGUGCCAGCCGCCGCCGUAAUAC